UACGUAGGGUCCGAGCGUUGUCCGGAAUUAUUGGGCGUAAAGGGUGCGUAGGUGGCGCUGUAAGUCGGGUGUGAAAUUUCGGAGCUUAACUCCGAAACUGCAUUCGAUACUGCGGUGCUUGAGGACUGGAGAGGAGACUGGAAUUCAUGGUGUAGCAGUGAAAUGCGUAGAGAUCAUGAGGAAGACCAGUGGCGAAGGCGGGUCUCUGGACAGUUCCUGACACUGAGGCACGAAGGCCAGGGGAGCAAACGGG
rnacentral:rRNA from 1 species